ACCUGGCUGGCUCUGUCAGAAGAACGUGUGACUUUUAAUCUCAGGGUUGUGGGUUCAAGCCCCAUGUGGGGUG
rnacentral:tRNA from 1 species